GUUCUUAUAGUGUAUAAAGUUGCACAUUAGAUUUUCAAUUUUUUAGAACACUUUGGAGUGUUAAGAAUA
rnacentral:tRNA from 1 species